rnacentral:rRNA from 1 species
AUUGAGCGCUGGCGGCAGGCCUAACACAUGCAAGUCGAACGGUAACAGGAAACAGCUUGCUGUUUCGCUGACGAGUGGCGGACGGGUGAGUAAUGUCUGGGAAACUGCCUGAUGGAGGGGGAUAACUACUGGAAACGGUAGCUAAUACCGCAUAACGUCGCAAGACCAAAGAGGGGGACCUUCGGGCCUCUUGCCAUCGGAUGUGCCCAGAUGGGAUUAGCUAGUAGGUGGGGUAACGGCUCACCUAGGCGACGAUCCCUAGCUGGUCUGAGAGGAUGACCAGCCACACUGGAACUGAGACACGGUCCAGACUCCUACGGGAGGCAGCAGUGGGGAAUAUUGCACAAUGGGCGCAAGCCUGAUGCAGCCAUGCCGCGUGUAUGAAGAAGGCCUUCGGGUUGUAAAGUACUUUCAGCGGGGAGGAAGGGAGUAAAGUUAAUACCUUUACUCAUUGACGUUACCCGCAGAAGAAGCACCGGCUAACUCCGUG